CUGGUUACAAUAAUUGAGAAAAUUUUGGCAGCACUGCUUUUUUCGUUGUUGUCAGAAUACAACAUUUGGUAAACUAAAAAAGAAUGAUACAUACACCAAAAUCGACGGAACCACAAAAGCGCAGCUGAAAUGGACUGUUGAAUUCAUACAAAGUAAUCGACAGAUACUAAGCGGGAAGAACACACCAAAUGAUCCUCAAGCUCAGAAAAGAUUAUGGGACGAAAUAGCCCUGAAUUUAAAAAUCUUUUUAUGGGCCGAGUAAAACUGCCGCAAAAUGGAAAGAGUCUUUAUGCAACUUGCGCACUGGCGGAGGUUCGUUUUCAGGCGAAGAGUUAUCGGAGUUCGAGGAACAAGCUCUGUCUGCAUUUGACAUGGGUGUAGUCAAUGGAUUGGAGUGCGUAACCUUGGGACUUCCUUUAAGACACAUUCACAACUCCUGCGAUUCCAUCACCACUAUGCGAAGGGGAAGAAUACGUGAUUGAGGAAACGCUGAUCGAAUCGCCAACCGAGUUAAUCGUAGACCCAAAUAUAUCCAACAUUGCCGCAGCCUCUGAUGCAUGGCCUUCGAUUGCUCCUACCACUUCUCGGCAACAAAGAGUGACAACGGAUGUAAUUUAUAAGAUGAUGGCUGAAGAUUUGCAGUCUCAAAGGCAGAGAAAUGAGCAGCUAUCUUCUGCAUUGAUGCAAAUGGGGAAAGGGUUGGAGAUUUUGGGCAAUGCAAUCUCAAAAUUAGCCGAUAAGCUGUAGUUAGUUUUUUUUAUUAGCUACAUAGGGGAAUUUUUUUUUUACCAAAUGGAUUGCUAUAAGUUUUUUAAGUGUUUGUC